UUGAACGCUGGCGGCGUGCUUAACACAUGCAAGUCGAGCGGUAACAGGUGUAGCAAUACAUGCUGACGAGCGGCGAACGGGUGAGUAAUGCUUCGGAAUCUACCCAGUAGUGGGGAAUAACCAGCCGAAAGGUUGGCUAAUACCGCAUACGAACUACGGUUGAAAGCGGGGGAUCGCAAGACCUCGCGCUAUUGGAUGAGCCGAAGUCGGAUUAGCUAGUUGGUAGGGUAACGGCCUACCAAGGCGACGAUCCGUAGCUGGUCUGAGAGGACGACCAGCCACACUGGGACUGAGACACGGCCCAGACUCCUACGGGAGGCAGCAGUGGGGAAUAUUGGACAAUGGGGGCAACCCUGAUCCAGCGACGCCGCGUGUGUGAAGAAGGCCUGCGGGUUGUAAAGCACUUUUAGUGGGGAUGAAAAGCUCGGGGUUAACACCUCCGGGUCUUGACCUAACCCAAA
rnacentral:rRNA from 1 species